CAGUGUUGAUGAAUCAGUUCCUCGCAAUCCUCACGGUGUAGCCACGUGGCUUCGAAUCGAAAAGGUCUUUUCUUCCGCCCACCGAGACUUACGGGAGGGGCACUGAGUAGUACUUUAAUCGGAAUAUGGUCCGAACCAGCAUAGUCGAGGUGUUUAACUAGAGCUCUAGGGAAGCACGUUGUCCAAUCAUUAUUUGCACAUGCUCGGUCCAACCUGCAACGAACCGUGUGUGGAGAUAGCCUGUUAUUCGACCAAGUGAAAAUGGGGCCUUCAUAGCCCAAAUCAUGCAGCUCACAGUUUUCCAGAGCUUCGCGAAACAUAUUAAGUUGGGACGGUUGUUUAGUAAUCCCACCGGACUUCUCACUAUUGUUUAAUACUUCGUUAAAAUCUCCACCUACUAGCCAGGGCAAAUUCCGAUAAUUCUUAAGUCUGCGCAAGAGAUCCCACGAUAGAGUUUUUCGAUC
rnacentral:lncRNA from 1 species